GGCGGAUGUAGCCAAGGGAUAAAGGCGGU
rnacentral:tRNA from 1 species